UACUCCGUGAUUGCCACCAGA
ensembl:piRNA 21ur-1149 ncRNA